rnacentral:rRNA from 1 species
GGUCUUGGUCUUGAACCUUCUAUUGCCUCCCCCCUCUAAUUAUACAUGCAAGCCUCACCACAACAGUGAAAAGCCCCACCACCCACAACAUCGGAGCCGGUAUCAGGCAACCAGCCAAUAACACCAAGCAAUAUUUAAGCCACACCCCCACGGGCCAGCAGCAGUAGUUAAUAUUAGGCCAUAAGCACUCACCCACUUCCCCAAGCUUGACCUAGUGAGAGGAGUUUUAGGGCCGGUUAAUCUCGUGCCAGCGACCGCGGUUAUACGACAGACCCAAGGCAAUAGCGCCGGCGUAAAGCACGACCAGAAUAAAGUAAUAACUUUUGGGUGGAAUCUACCCCAGGCUGUAAAAAGCCAUAAGACACACUAACCCCCCCCCCAAAAAACUUAAACACCUUCAACUCGGGAAAAUAGGAAUACAAACUAAGAUUAGAUACCUUACUAUGCCUAACCUAACACACAAUCAAAUUACGAAUUGUUCGCCAAAUAACUACGAGUAAAAACUUAAAAUUUAAAAGACUUGACGGUACUUCACACCACCCUAGAGGAGCCUGUCCAAUAACCGAUACCCCACGAUUAACCCAACCCGCUCUAGCCCCCCAGUCUAUAUACCGCCAUCGCCAGCUCACCUUGUGAAAGAAACAAAGCGAGCCCAAAAGCACCCAUUAUCUCCUGCUAACACGAUAGGUCGAGGUGUAACUAAUGGGCGGGGACAAGAUGGGCUACAUUUUCUACGAAUAGAAAAUACGA